GUGUGUGCAUGUGUGCACGUGUGUGUGUAUGUGUGUGUGUGUAUCAGGGAGGGGUGGGGGGAGGGUUAGUGUUCCCGUUUCACCGCCCGGCAACCUCCACCUGCGCCUGUGGUCAAACUGCACCGUCAGUAAUAUUUUGCGAGCCCACCAAGCAGUGAGUGGCAGUGAGUUAUACGACUGGCUGAGGGCUCGUUUGGCAGUGGGCGAGCCCGUGACUCCGGCUUCCCCCCGCUUUGAGAUGUGAGCUCCGGCGUCCCGCGGGACUUAAUUUGGCCCACGCCAGCUCCCUCGGACCUCCCUGGCUGGUGUUAAUUGGUCCGACUUUCUCCCGUUAUGGGCUCGGAUGCGGUCCAAGCUCCCUCUCUGCUGGCAAGGGUUUGAACCUCUCUGAGAGUUUAAUAAACUUUAUGUCGUCCGGUUAAUAAAACAGCAUUGUGUCCCGCCAUGGCUUGUUUUGCCUCGAUAAGUCAUGGGAUUUUCUUUUCUUUCUGCUUUUUCUUCUUUCUCUCCCUUCUGUGAGAGCUGUGUGAGAGCGGUGUGCCGUAUGUCUACUCCGCGCCAUUUGUCUUCGUAACGUAGAUUUUUUUUUUUGUUCUUCCUCAAUAACUUUUUUCCAGUUUAUUUUUUUUAUUUUUAAAUUUUUUUAACCCAACUUAUUUUUCUGAAUUCUGCUAAUAAAUAAUAAAAGAAAAACACUGAACCAACUCUGCCUCAAUGCUAAGUAGAAACUCCCUCUCUUUUACGGGAUCUUACGGAUGGGAGUCAGAUCAACGUGAGGCGUGUCCCUGGUGACUGACGUGGGAAAGUCGGGCGCGGAGCACUUCCCCUGACAGGCAGAUGAAAAGGCCUUCCCAUCAUUCCCGGUUACAUCUGAAGCAGCGUGUACUUAGAGGACAUGUUGAUGAUAUGUCUUCCCAUGCACACCGCAGUGACCUGACUUCAACACACCUGCCCAACACACUCAUACACACACACACAAUCUUAUACACACACACACACACACACACACACACACACAUUACCUCAGGCCCCAGCUACGCUGUCAGAUCCAGGAGUUGAACGUUUAUUUUCUUAAGUAUUAUCUCUACUCUUCCGUGCCGCGAUCACACAC
ensembl:lncRNA